GGCUGGAAUGCAGUGGGGUGACCUUGGCUCACUGCAGCCUCGGCCUCCUGGGUUCAAGAAAUCCUCCUGCCUCAGACCCACAAGGAGCUGGGAAUACUGUGACAAUGCAGUUCCCUGCACAUAUGGCAGCAGACACAGAAGACCAAAUGGCAAAGACUGGUGAGCAUCUUUUGUGCAUUUUUCCCUGGUUGGACCUGAGGCAUACUUUGAACACAGGGCUGAGAUUGAAUGUGGGAUGUGAAGGAAAGGAGAGUCAAGAAUGGCCCCCAGCUUCCGGCCAGAGCGACUGAGUAAAGGGUGUUACCAUUCUGCAACCAAGAGGUGAGCCGUAUGAUGAAACUGAGAAUACAGAAGACUCAGAGGAGAAAGAAAGAAACCAGAUCUUGGCGUCAGCAAGGCUAUCGCCUUCAGACUGCUCAGUCACGGGAACCAUUAA